rnacentral:misc_RNA from 1 species
GAGGAAAUAAAUCAUGAAAAUAAAAUAAAACUAAAGAAAUCCGAUAGAUAGAGUGUAGAAAAAUAGGAAGAAGAGAAGAAGAAGCUGGAUGUUGAUCCUAAAAUGGAAGUGUCGGCUGCUGCUCUCCUUUUUCUCCUUUUCGUUGUCUUUCCUCCUCUCUAGCAAAAUGAGGUAAGAGUGGCUUUAUAUCCCCCUAAUAGAGAGCCCUAGGUUGGCCCAAAAAUGGUGUGUCGUAGGUAAUCUCACGUGAGAAAAUUCUAUCUUCAAGCAUUUAAUGAGGGUGUGCGCAGGCUGUGUAAAUGGUUAUACUGGAUCUUGUGCGCAUUUGGCAGUCUCCAUAGGCUUCUCGUGAAGGUGCACAGGCUGUGUGGGUUGCUUGUGCAGGUUUCAACAUGUUUAGUUAGAGGUCUUCUGUGGAAGUGCAUAACCGAACUGCAUAGGCUGUGUAAGAGGUUGUGCAAGUUUCGGCAUGUCUGACAAUUUUCCGUGAAGGUGCACAACAGACCUGCACAAGCUCUGCAGCAUGUUGUGCAAGUUUCGGCAGUUUGAAAACUCCUCCUUUCACAGCUGCACAAGGUAGGCGUGAAAGUGCAUAAGCUGUGCAGUACGUUGUGCAAGUUUGCAGGUUUCAUGUUCUUCAAUUUUUAAGCUUCAUUUUGAUACUUUUAGACUUGAAAACAACUCCUCACUUGCAUAAUUACUCUUUAGUCCCUCAAAAAUACUUUUUAUCUACAAAACAAAAAGCAAAAUUAUAAAUUAGUCUAAAAAUUAAUAAUUAUGUAAAAGUAACUAAAUAACUGCUAAAAUUAACUAAAAUUAAGAAAUCAAUAAAAUGACUAUAAAAUUUAACCUAAAUGACUAUAUAAAAUGCAUGUAUCAAUGUUGCAUUAGAUUUAUUCCUGCAUGUAUUAGUAUUACUUUAUAAUGGUAGGAUUAUUUCAAUCCCUUGAAUAUAUGUGUAUGUGUCAGCUGGUAUAUGUGGACGCUAUGGUUGUUAGUAUUUGAUUCUGUGUGUCCUCCCUUUUGUCCUUCAUCUGCAUAUUUUUUGAGCU